rnacentral:rRNA from 1 species
AUUGAACGCUGGCGGCAGGCCUAACACAUGCAAGUCGAACGAGUGGCGGACGGGUGAGUAAUGUCUGGGGAACUGCCUGAUGGAGGGGGAUAACUACUGGAAACGGUGGCUAAUACCGCAUACCAUCAGAUGAGCCCAGAUGGGAUUAGCUAGUUGGUGGGGUAAAGGCUCACCUAGGCGACGAUCCCUAGCUGGUCUGAGAGGAUGACCAGCCACCCUGAAACUGAGACACGGUCCAGACUCCUACGGGAGGCAGCAGUGGGGAAUAUUGCACAAGGGGCGCAAGCCUGAUGCAGCCAUGCCGCGUGUAUGAAGAAGGCCUUAGGGUUGUAAAGUACUUUCAGCGGGGAGGCGUUACCCGCAGAAGAAGCACCGGCUAACUCCGUGCCAGCAGCCGCGGUAAUUC